rnacentral:rRNA from 1 species
GACAGAGGCCUCAAGCGUUAGGCGGAAUCACUGGGCUUAAAGCGUGUGUAGGCGGAUCGUUAAGUGCCUUGUGAAAUCCCACGGCUUAACUGUGGAACGGCUGGGCAUACUGGCGGUCUUGAGCCAUCUAGGGGCGACUGGAACAAACGGUGGAGCGGUGAAAUGCGUAGAUAUCGUUUGGAACGCCAAUGGUGAAAACAGGUCGCUGGGGGAUGAGCUGACGCGUGAGACACGAAAGCCAGGGGAGCAAACGGG